rnacentral:rRNA from 1 species
GUCUACAGCUAUAACACCCCAAACAUGCCUUAUCUCCUCUGAUCUCAGAAGCUAAGCAGGGGGGAGCCUGGCUAGUACUUGGUUGGGAGAAAAUAGAAGCUUUUGGUC